GGGUGUUCUUGAGGAUAGAAAAAGGGGAUCUUGGAGAAGAAGGAUUAGAACCAAGUAAAGUUUUAGGGCUUUUCGUGUUGGAUUUAGGAGUAGUUUUGCAAUGGAGUUUAGGACUAAUAAGAGUGUUAAUGUCAUUAGAAGAAGCUUUAUUAUUAGUUUUGCAUCGCAAACGAGGAGUAGAAGGAUUACUACUAGAUAAAAAACCAAGCUUUACACAGC
rnacentral:misc_RNA from 1 species